rnacentral:rRNA from 1 species
UACGGGGGGGAGCAAGCGUUUGUUCGGAUUUACUGGGCGUAAAGAGCUCGUAGGCGGUCUGUCGCGUCGGUCGUGAAAACUUGGGGCUUAACCCUGAGCUUGCGGUCGAUACGGGCAUGACUGGAGUUCGGUAGGGGAGACUGGAAUUCCUGGUGUAGCGGUGAAAUGCGCAGAUAUCAGGAGGAACACCGAUGGCGAAGGCAGGUCUCUGGGCCGAUACUGACGCUGAGGAGCGAAAGCCGUGGGGAGCGAACAGG